ACUUGAAUUGAAGAGUUUGAUCAUGGCUCAGAUUGAACGCUGGCGGCAGGCUUAACACAUGCAAGUCGAACGGUAGCAGGAGGAAGCUUGCUUUCUUGCUGACGAGUGGCGGACGGGUGAGUAAUGCUUGGGAAUCUGGCUUAUGGAGGGGGGAUAACGACGGGAAACUGUCGCUAAUACCGCGUAUUAUCGGAAGAUGAAAGUGCGGGACUGAGAGGCCGCAUGCCAUAGGAUGAGCCCAAGUGGGAUUAGGUAGUUGGUGGGGUAAAUGCCUACCAAGCCUGCGAUCUCUAGC
rnacentral:rRNA from 1 species